GACGAACGCUGGCGGCGUGCCUAACACAUGCAAGUCGAGCGGGGUUGAGGCGAGAGGUAACUCGAGCUUCUACCUAGCGGCGGACGGGUGAGUAACGCGUGGGCAACCUGCCUCAAGGUUUGGGAUAACAGCCCGAAAGGGCUGCUAAUACCGGAUAUGCCUACGGCCUCGCAUGGGGCUAUGAGCAAAGGGGAAACCCGCCUUGAGAUGGGCCCGCGUCCCAUCAGCUAGUGGUGAGGUAACAGCUCACCAAGGCGACGACGGGUAGCCGGCCUGACGAGGGUGACCGGCCACACUGGGACUGAGACACGGCCCAGACUCCUACGGGGGCAGCAGUGGGGGAUCUUGCACAAUGGGCGAAAGCCUGAUGCAGCGACGCCGCGUGAGCGAAGAAGGCCUUCGGGUUGUAAAGCUCUGUCUGGAGGGACGAACAAAAUGAGGUACCUCCGGAGGAGCCACGGCUAACUACGUGCCAGCAGCCGACGGUAAAUCACGUGUACU
rnacentral:rRNA from 1 species